GUAGUUGCCAUCAUUCAGUUGGGCACUCUAGCGAGACUGCCGGUAAUAAACCGGAGGAAGGUGGGGAUGACGUCAAAUCAUCAUGCCCCUUAUGACCUGGGCUACACACGUGCUACAAUGGUUGGUACAACGAGUUGCGAGUCGGUGACGGCGAGCUAAUCUCUUAAAGCCAAUCUCAGUUCGGAUUGUAGGCUGCAACUCGCCUACAUGAAGUCGGAAUCGCUAGUAAUCGCGGAUCAGCACGCCGCGGUGAAUACGUUCCCGGGCCUU
rnacentral:rRNA from 1 species